GAUGAAGAACGUAGCGAAAUGCGAUACGUAAUGUGAAUUGCAGAAUUCAGUGAAUCAUCGAAUCUUUGAACGCACAUUGCGCCCGCCAGUAUUCUGGCGGGCAUGCCUGUUCGAGCGUCAUUUCAACCCUCAAGCCCAGCUUGGUGUUGGGGAUCGGCACAGGCGCCCUCGGGCGCCCGCCGUCCCCUAAAUCUAGUGGCGGUCCCGCUGCAGCCUCCUCUGCGUAGUAGUUUUCUCCUCGCAAGGGCAGCUCGGUGGCGACCUCGCCGUAAAACCCCCAACUUCUGAAAGGUUGACCUCGAAUCAGGUAGGAAUACCCGCUGAACUUAAGCAUAUCGAUAAGCGGAGGA
rnacentral:misc_RNA from 1 species